GANAACGACUCUCGGCAACGGAUAUCUCGGCUCUCGCAUCGAUGAAGAACGUAGCGAAAUGCGAUACUUGGUGUGAAUUGCAGAAUCCCGUGAACCAUCGAGUCUUUGAACGCAAGUUGCGCCCGAAGCCGUCAGGCCGAGGGCACGUCUGCCUGGGCNUCACGCA
rnacentral:rRNA from 1 species